rnacentral:lncRNA from 1 species
GUGAGCUCCUAGAGGGCUGAGGUACCUCUGUUGUGAUUCCUAGCUGUGUGGUUAGUACAUGGUGAGCACGCAGAGAUGUGUGGAUGGAUAUUCACAUGGCAUUUUGUAGGGAUAAUUUGGCUAUGAAAUAAUGUUUAAAAUUUUCAGUUUGGUUUUCCUUAAGGAAUCUGAGGGUGGCAUAAAGUACAGGCUGCAAUCUUUUGUCACAUUGUAACAUUUACGAGUGAAUUAAACCGCUUUUCUUAAGAGACAUUUAAAAGACCAU